UACAGAGGUCUCAAGCGUUGUUCGGAUUCAUUGGGCGUAAAGGGUGCGUAGGUGGCGCCGUAAGUCGGGUGUGAAAUUUCGGAGCUUAACUCCGAAACUGCAUUCGAUACUGCGGUGCUUGAGGACUGGAGAGGAGACUGGAAUUCAUGGUGUAGCAGUGAAAUGCGUAGAGAUCAUGAGGAAGACCCAGUGGCGAAGGCGGGGUCUCUGG
rnacentral:rRNA from 1 species